UUGAACGCUGGCGGCAGGCUUAACACAUGCAAGUCGAGCGGAGAUGAGGUGCUUGCACCUUAUCUUAGCGGCGGACGGGUGAGUAAUGCUUUAGGAAUCUGCCUAUUAGUGGGGGGACAACAUUCCGAAAGGGAUGCUAAUACCGCAUACGUCCUACGGGGAGAAAAGCAGGGGAUCUUCGGACCUUGCGCUAAUAGAUGAGCCUAAGUCGGAUUAGCUAGUUGGUGGGGUAAAGGCCUACCAAGGCGACGAUCUGUAGCGGGUCUGAGAGGAUGAUCCGCCACACUGGGACUGAGACACGGCCCAGACUCCUACGGGAGGCAGCAGUGGGGAAUAUUGGACAAUGGGGGGAACCCUGAUCCAGCCAUGCCGCGUGUGUGAAGAAGGCCUUAUGGUUGUAAAGCACUUUAAGCGAGGAGGAGGCUACUGAGACUAAUACUCUUGGAUAGUGGACGUUACUCGCAGAAUAAGCACCGGCUAACUCUGUG
rnacentral:rRNA from 1 species